rnacentral:lncRNA from 1 species
UUUUUAUUUUACUUUAAAAUGUUAAUUUUUGAAAUUAUAAAAUAUUUUCAUAAAUAUGAAAAAUUCAAUAUUUUAUUUGAUACAAUAAUUAAUUGUAUGAUAACUUUCAGUUUUAGCUACUUUGGAACAGUUAGAUCCCAAAAAUAUAAAACUCAGACAAGCAGAAGAAGUGGAAGAAGAUCUGAGUCCAGUACAACCAUUGCCAAUCACUCAACAAAGAGAAAACUACCUCACUUGAUUAUUCUUAUUAAACAAAGUGAAAAUACUUAGAUAAAGUAGACCAAUGCUAAUUAGAACGAGGUAGAAUUUUGAAUAAAUUCAUAAUCAAAUCUUUUUAUCUUAAAGUUAUUAAAUUGUAUAUUUAGUGAAGGAUUUCUAAAAUGUUGGCAGAAAAAUGACGUUUUUUUAGUGAUGAUGCUAGAAUUUUGGAAAAUUAUAUAUGUACAGAAAUUGUUUAUCUACAGUUUUUGAAUAUACAAUAUAAAAAUUACUUUUAUCAUCUUAAUGCAAUCACAUAUACAAAAGAAGAAAAUAAGAAACCAAUUUACUUCAGAAAGCUUGUAUUAUAUAUUGUUCUAUUAAUUAAAUCUGACUAUUUAUAGAAAAAUAGAUUUAUAUUUGCACACUAUAGAAUAGUUAUUGUUG